AUUGAACGCUGGCGGCAUGCCUUACACAUGCAAGUCGAACGGCAGCACGGACUUCGGUCUGGUGGCGAGUGGCGAACGGGUGAGUAAAGUAUCGGAACGUACCCUAGAGUGGGGGAUAACUAUCCGAAAGGAUAGCUAAUACCGCAUAUUCUAUGAGUAGGAAAGCAGGGGAUCGCAAGACCUUGUGCUCUGGGAGCGGCCGAUAUCAGAUUAGCUAGUUGGUGAGGUAAAGGCUCACCAAGGCGACGAUCUGUAGCGGGUCUGAGAGGAUGAUCCGCCACACUGGAACUGAGACACGGUCCAGACUCCUACGGGAGGCAGCAGUGGGGAAUUUUGGACAAUGGGGGCAACCCUGAUUCAGCCAUGCCGCGUGAGUGAAGAAGGCCUUCGGGUUGUAAAGCUCUUUCGGCCGGGAAGAAAUCGCACGGGUUAAUACCCUGUGUGGAUGACGGUACCGGAAUAAGAAGCACCGGCUAACUACGUGCCAGCCGCCGCAGUAA
rnacentral:rRNA from 1 species